UACGGAAUGUGCAAACGUUAUUCGGAAUCACUGGGCUUAAAGAGUCCGUAGGCGGCUUGUUAGGUGAGGUGUGAAAGCCCUCGGCCCAACCGAGGAAUUGCGCUUCAAACCGGCAAGCUAGAGGAGGAUAGAGGUGGGCGGAACUGAUGGUGGAGCGGUGAAAUGCGUUGAUAUCAUCAGGAACACCGGAGGCGAAGGCGGUCCACUGGGUCCUUUCUGACGCUGAGGGACGAAAGCUAGGGGAGCGAACGGG
rnacentral:rRNA from 1 species